rnacentral:rRNA from 1 species
UACGUAGGGGGCUAGCGUUGUCCGGAAUCAUUGGGCGUAAAGAGCGCGUAGGCGGCCAGAUAAGUCCGGUGUGAAAGUCAAAGGCUCAACCUUUGAAUGCCGCUGGAAACUGUCUGGCUAGAGUCCGGGAGGGGCGAGUGGAAUUCCUGGUGUAGCGGUGAAAUGCGCAGAUAUCAGGAGGAACACCAAUGGCGAAGGCAGCUCGCUGGAACGGUACUGACGCUGAGGCGCGAAAGCGUGGGGAGCGAACAGG